rnacentral:rRNA from 1 species
CGGCUCACCUAGGCGACGAUCCCUAGCUGGUCUGAGAGGAUGACCAGCCACACUGGAACUGAGACACGGUCCAGACUCCUACGGGAGGCAGCAGUGGGGAAUAUUGCACAAUGGGCGCAAGCCUGAUGCAGCCAUGCCGCGUGUGUGAAGAAGGCCUUCGGGUUGUAAAGCACUUUCAGCGGGGAGGAAGGCGUUAAGGUUAAUAACCUUGGCGAUUGACGUUACCCGCAGAAGAAGCACCGGCUAACUCCGUGCCAGCAGCCGCGGUAAUACGGAGGGUGCAAGCGUUAAUCGGAAUUACUGGGCGUAAA